rnacentral:misc_RNA from 1 species
GAUGAAGAACGUAGCGAAAUGCGAUAAGUAAUGUGAAUUGCAGAAUUCAGUGAAUCAUCGAAUCUUUGAACGCACAUUGCGCCCCCUGGUAUUCCGGGGGGCAUGCCUGUUCGAGCGUCAUUUCACCACUCAAGCCUCGCUUGGUAUUGGGCAACGCGGUCCGCCGCGUGCCUCAAAUCGACCGGCUGGGUCUUCUGUCCCCUAAGCGUUGUGGAAACUAUUCGCUAAAGGGUGUUCGGGAGGCUACGCCGUAAAACAACCCCAUUUCUAAGGUUGACCUCGGAUCAGGUAGGGAUACCCGCUGAACUUAUGCAUAUCAAUAAGCGGAGGA